rnacentral:rRNA from 1 species
CGAACUCUGGUAUUGAUUGGUGCUUGCAUCAUGAUUUACAUUUGAGUGAGUGGCGAACUGGUGAGUAACACGUGGGAAACCUGCCCAGAAGCGGGGGAUAACACCUGGAAACAGAUGCUAAUACCGCAUAACAACUUGGACCGCAUGGUCCGAGCUUGAAAGAUGGCUUCGGCUAUCACUUUUGGAUGGUCCCGCGGCGUAUUAGCUAGAUGGUGGGGUAACGGCUCACCAUGGCAAUGAUACGUAGCCGACCUGAGAGGGUAAUCGGCCACAUUGGGACUGAGACACGGCCCAAACUCCUACGGGAGGCAGCAGUAGGGAAUCUUCCACAAUGGACGAAAGUCUGAUGGAGCAACGCCGCGUGAGUGAAGAAGGGUUUCGGCUCGUAAAACUCUGUUGUUAAAGAAGAACAUAUCUGAGAGUAACUGUUCAGGUAUUGACGGUAUUUAACCAGAAAGCCACGGCUAACUACGUGCCAGCAGCCGCGGUAAUACGUAGGUGGCAAGCGUUGUCCGGAUUUAUUGGGCGUAAAGCGAGCGCAGGCGGUUUUUUAAGUCUGAUGUGAAAGCCUUCGGCUCAACCGAAGAAGUGCAUCGGAAACUGGGAAACUUGAGUGCAGAAGAGGACAGUGGAACUCCAUGUGUAGCGGUGAAAUGCGUAGAUAUAUGGAAGAACACCAGUGGCGAAGGCGGCUGUCUGGUCUGUAACUGACGCUGAGGCUCGAAAGUAUGGGUAGCAAACAGGAUUAGAUACCCUGGUAGUCCAUACCGUAAACGAUGAAUGCUAAGUGUUGGAGGGUUUCCGCCCUUCAGUGCUGCAGCUAACGCAUUAAGCAUUCCGCCUGGGGAGUACGGCCGCAAGGCUGAAACUCAAAGGAAUUGACGGGGGCCCGCACAAGCGGUGGAGCAUGUGGUUUAAUUCGAAGCUACGCGAAGAACCUUACCAGGUCUUGACAUACUAUGCAAAUCUAAGAGAUUAGACGUUCCCUUCGGGGACAUGGAUACAGGUGGUGCAUGGUUGUCGUCAGCUCGUGUCGUGAGAUGUUGGGUUAAGUCCCGCAACGAGCGCAACCCUUAUUAUCAGUUGCCAGCAUUAAGUUGGGCACUCUGGUGAGACUGCCGGUGACAAACCGGAGGAAGGUGGGGAUGACGUCAAAUCAUCAUGCCCCUUAUGACCUGGGCUACACACGUGCUACAAUGGAUGGUACAACGAGUUGCGAACUCGCGAGAGUAAGCUAAUCUCUUAAAGCCAUUCUCAGUUCGGAUUGUAGGCUGCAACUCGCCUACAUGAAGUCGGAAUCGCUAGUAAUCGCGGAUCAGCAUGCCGCGGUGAAUACGUUCCCGGGCCUUGUACACACCGCCCGUCACACCAUGAGAGUUUGUAACACCCAAAGUCGGUGGGGUAAC